rnacentral:rRNA from 1 species
AACGUAGGGGGCAAGCGUUAUCCGGAAUUACUGGGUGUAAAGGGUGAGUAGGCGGUAAGUCAAGUCAUGUGUGAAAGCCCGAGGCUCAACCUCGGGAUUGCACAAGAAACUGGCAAACUAGAGUACAGGAGAGGUAAGCGGAAUUCCUAGUGUAGCGGUGAAAUGCGUAGAUAUUAGGAGGAACACCAGUGGCGAAGGCGGCUUACUGGACUGAAACUGACGCUGAGUCACGAAAGCGUGGGGAGCAAACAGG